GUUAGGAAUAUUGGACAAUGGGCGCAAGCCUGAUCCAGCCAUGCCGCGUGAGUGAUGAAGGCCUUCGGGUUGUAAAGCUCUUUAGCCGAUGAUUAUAAUGACUGUAGUCGGACAAUAAGCCCCGGCUAACUUCGUGCCAGCAGCCGCGGUAAUACGAAGGGGGCGAGCGUUAUUCGGAAUCACUGGGCGUAAAGCGUGAGUAGGCGGCUUUGCACGUUGGGAGUGAACGCCCAGGGCGCAACCCUUGAAGUGCUCUCAAAACUGCAAGGCUCAAAUGCGGGAGAGGAUAGCAGAAUUGUGAGUGUAACUGUGAAAUGCGUAGAUAUUGACAGGAACACCAGUAGAGUAAGCGGCUAUCUGAAACGAUAUUGACGCUGAGGCACGAAAGCGGGGGGAUCAAACAGGAUUAGAAACCCGUGUAGUCC
rnacentral:rRNA from 1 species